rnacentral:rRNA from 1 species
GAUGAACGCUGGCGGCGUGCCUAACACAUGCAAGUCGAGCGAUUUACUUCGGUAAAGAGCGGCGGACGGGUGAGUAACGCGUGGGUAACCUGCCCUGUACACACGGAUAACAUACCGAAAGGUAUGCUAAUACGAGAUAAUAUACUUUUAUCGCAUGGUAGAAGUAUCAAAGCUUUUGCGGUACAGGAUGGACCCGCGUCUGAUUAGCUAGUUGGUAAGGUAACGGCUUACCAAGGCGACGAUCAGUAGCCGACCUGAGAGGGUGAUCGGCCACAUUGGAACUGAAACACGGUCCAAACUCCUACGGGAGGCGGCAGUGGGGAAUAUUGCGCAAUGGGCGAAAGCCUGAUGCAGCAACGCCGCGUGAGCGAUGAAGGCCUUCGGGUCGUAAAGCUCUGUCCUCAAGGAGGAUAAUGACGGUACUUGAGGAGGAAGCCCCGGCUAACUACGUGCCAGCCGCCGCCGUAA